rnacentral:rRNA from 1 species
UACGGAGGGUGCAAACGUUGCUCGGAAUCAUUGGGCGUAAAGCGCACGUAGGCGGCCUGAUAAGUCGGGUGUGAAAGCCCUGGGCUCAACCCAGGAAGUGCACUCGAAACUGUCAGGCUUGAAUAUGGAAGAGGGUCGCGGAAUUCCCGGUGUAGAGGUGAAAUUCGUAGAUAUUGGGAAGAACACCGGUGGCGAAGGCGGCUCACUGGCUCGUAACUGACGCUCAUGCACGACAGCGUGGGGAUCAAACAGG